AAUACAUAUUGUUACACGAGGAAAAACGAAAUUUGGAACCACCCCUUAUGGAAAUUAUCAAGAACAACACCAGGGUUCUAUGUUUGGUAGUUCUCCUGAUGUCUGCCACUUCAUUGGCAUGUGAUGCAGCUCGGGGCAAUGAAGGCACAACUAGGGAGGACUAUAUGUGUGGAAGCUUUUUAUCUUGCAACAAGCCACACCCAACGCCAGACGAUUAUCGUUUUUGCAAGCUUAACUGUAAAUGGCUUGGUCAUAGCUUCGAUGAGAGCUUCUGCAACUACCAUGGAGAGUGUUGCUGCCGUAUUUUGAAUGCUAACUAGAUGCAUGGAUACUAUUGAUUGUUACGCGCCCAAUGCUUGUGCUUGCAAGGGAUGGCGAAUUUCAAUAAAUUACACUCCAAGUUUGUUUUGGCUUGACUUUGCAGCUUUAUUUCUUCUUUCGUCCGUGAAUCGCAAUCAAUUCAAGCCUCUUCGCCGUACAAAAAAUAGGAAGUUACUAUUGAACAGCUGCCUGUUUUUAAAUUUGGAAACAGACACAUUUUAUAGCCUGUAAGAAUAUGCCAAGUGUAUCACUCGAAAAUAUUAAAAAGAACGAGAAAACUGUAUGUUUUCAGUUUCACCAAACAGACACAUUUCGGCCUCUUCCCUCACCCCAACAUUGAGUUGCAACGGCUGUUUUCAGUCCAGUAUUCCGUUAUCAAUCUUCAACAGAGACUUCUUCCUGAGCUUACUCUUGGGGGUGAGUGUUAUGUCCUCUCUAUAAGAAGUUUACUGGGUUUGAUACCCGACUUUUCCCCUGCGGAGAUUUCAGCCCCUGUGCUGCCCGUCCUUGCUUCUUCCUCCAGCUCCCACAGCCGGCUCCUCUCCCCCUCGUCGCCGGUGGCCAUGGUGGCCGGCGAUGGGUGGGAAGGGGGUUUGGCUUUUAAUAGCUGUAGGUUUACUUCUCCGUUUCUUCUCCCUGGCGAAUAAUAAGGAGGCAGUCGGAUCAAGAUCCGACUCUGAACUGCACCCAAUCAUUCUUUCGUUUGGCCAUAUCUGUAAGGUGGAAGAUUGGUGUGCGUCUAGGGCCGAAUCCCAUGCCGGCACCCCUUGGCCAAGUCCAUGGCGAGGUACUGCUUCGGCUACCUCUGCUCCCACUCCUUUGCCCCCUUUUCUUUUCUUCAAUAAAUCUUUGCAGGCGACCAUGGAUACCCCGGUUUAUGCUACUGGUUUGGGGAUUGGGUUGCUGCAUCGUGCUGCUUGUUUUCCUGGAGUUCCUCAGCAGGGGACUUGUGACGGUUGGAGCUGUCUUGCCUCUGCUUCCCAUGGCCGAAAGGCGGCCCUCCACCCUCGAGCUCAUCACAUGGCUGACCUGAGUGUCGCCAUGAUCUGCGGCCUUCUUGAUGGCCACUUCUAUCGCUGCUUCGACGGCGCUACCUCAACCUCCAAGACGGAGGCCCUUGAUGGAGUCCUUGGCUGGCGCUACACUCCUCCUAGCCACCAAGUGGUUCGUCCCCGGUUGCUGGUUGCAGGAGGCCGGAUGCGAGACUCCGACGACAUCGACAACGGUGGAGAAGACUUUGCACUUGAUUGCUUUCUAAUUUUAUUAGCAGGGUCUUUCUGUUAAAUUCCAAGGACCAGUUUCUAUUUUCUUUCUUGCAUUGUCCUUGUUGUAAAAUGUACCCACCGUCUUUUAUAAUAUAAUGCAGCAUCUGGGGUCUUCUA